GCUGAUAAGGAGUGUGGGAAACACUCCCGCCGUAAGUCCAAGGGUCCCUGCGCAAGGUUAAUCCGCGCAGGGUUAGUCGGUCCCUAAGGCGAGGCCGAGAGGCGUAGUCGAUGGGAAGCAGGUUAAUAUUCCUGCACCUGCUGGUAGUGACGGAUUCUGUGGGUUGUCCGGAGGAAUGGUUCUAUCCGGGCAGCGAAGGAGUCCCAGGAAAUAGCUCCAGCGUAUAGACCGUACCCGAAACCGACACAGGUGGACUGGUAGAGUAUACCGAGGCGCUUGAGAGAACGAUGUCGAAGGAACUAGGCAAAAUGCCCUCGUAACUUCGGGAGAAGAGGGCCUCAUUCUUGGGCAACCAGGGAUGAGGGGCACAGACCAGGGGGUAGCGACUGUUUACUAAAAACACAGGGCUCUGCGAAGCCGAGAGGCGACGUAUAGGGUCUGACGCCUGCCCGGUGCCGGAAGGUUAAGAGGAGAGGUGCAAGCCUUGAAUCGAAGCCCCGGUAAACGGCGGCCGUAACAAUAACGGUCCUAAGGUAGCGAAAUUCCUUGUCGGGUAAGUUCCGACCUGCACGAGGGCGUAACGACUUCCCCGCUGUCUCCGACAUCGACUCAGCGAAAUUGAAUUCCCCGUGAAGAUGCGGGGUACCCGCGGUUAGACGGAAAGACCCCGUGCACCUUUACUACAACUUUGCAGUGGCAUUAGGGAAAGGAUGUGUAGGAUAGGCGGGAGGCUAUGAAGCGGGGGCGCCAGCUCUCGUGGAGCCAUCCUUGAAAUACCGCCCUUUCGUUCUCUGAUGUCCAACCGAGGUCGUGAAACGCGAUCCGGGACCCUGCAUGGUGGGUAGUUUGACUGGGGCGGUCGCCUCCUAAAGAGUAACGGAGGCGCGCGAUGGUGGGCUCAAGCCGGUCGGAAAUCGGCUGUGGAGUGCAAUGGCAUAAGCCCGCCUGACUGCGAGGCCGACAAGCCGAGCAGAGACGAAAGUCGGUCAUAGUGAUCCGGUGGUUCCGCGUGGAAGGGCCAUCGCUUAACGGAUAAAAGGUACGCCGGGGAUAACAGGCUGAUCUCCCCCAAGAGUCCACAUCGACGGGGAGGUUUGGCACCUCGAUGUCGGCUCAUCGCAUCCUGGGGCUGGAGCAGGUCCCAAGGGUAUGGCUGUUCGCCAUUUAAAGCGGUACGUGAGCUGGGUUUAGAACGUCGUGAGACAGUUCGGUCCCUAUCUGCCGUGGGUGUUCGAGACUUGAGAGGCGCUGUCCCUAGUACGAGAGGACCGGGAUGGACGUACCUCUGGUGUACCGGUUGUGGCGCCAGCCGCAUCGCCGGGUAGCUAUGUACGGACGGGAUAAACGCUGAAUGCAUCUAAGCGUGAAACCCUCCUCAAAACCAGGUCUCGCUAGACAGGGCCGUGGCAGACCACCACGUUGAUAGGCCGCAGGUGCAAGCACAGUGAUGUGUUCAGCCAAGCGGUACUAAUCGCCUGAAAA
rnacentral:rRNA from 1 species